GCCAAUGGCCCUACUGCGCCGGCGCCGCCGGGAGCGCCAGGCCUCAUCCCGCUUCCUAGGAUAGCGCUGCGCGCAUGCGCCUUGACGAGUGAGCCGGGGAGCCAUGGACAACUGUUUGGCGGCCGCAGCGCUGAAUGGGGUGGACCGACGUUCCCUGCAGCGUUCAGCAAGGCUGGCUCUAGAAGUGCUGGAGCGGGCCAAGAGGAGGGCGGUGGACUGGCAUGCCCUGGAGCGUCCCAAAGGCUGCAUGGGGGUCCUUGCCCGGGAGGCGCCCCACCUAGAGAGACAGCCGGCAGCCGGCCCGCAGCGCGUUUUCCCGGGAGAGAGAGAAGAGAGGCCCCCAACCCUUAGUGCUUCCUUCAGAACAAUGGCUGAAUUCAUGGACUAUACUUCAAGUCAGUGUGGGAAGUAUUAUUCAUCUGUGCCAGAGGAAGGAGGGGCAACCCAUGUCUAUCGUUAUCACAGAGGCAAGUCGAAGCUGUACAUGUGCUCGGACAUAGGGAAUGGUCAGAGAAAAGACAGAAAAAAGACAUCCCUUGGUCCUGGAGGCAUCUAUCAAAUAUCAGAGUGUGCUCCAGAGGCAUCCCAGCCUGUGAGUACGGAACUGCUUACGCACUGGGUUUCACCACCGUUACAACUCCAUGAACCAGUUGACAUGGUUCUUAGAGGGCUAUUUGAAUUGGGUCUAUAGUAUUUUUAAGUUGAGAUGUUCUUACACUUAAGAAGGGAGUGCAGAAAAUUUUGGUUCAGUGUAAAACUGGGUUUUCUUGGUAUUCUUCCUUCACUCAAAGCUUCAGGGAUACUCUUUGUGCCUGAACUCAUAGUUGUGGUUGGAAAGAAUGUGAAGUAUUCACAUCUCAGUUCCUACCUACAGCUCAGCUGAGCUGGCACUGGGUCCUGCUGGAAUUCCACCAUCUGUUCAAGCAGCAGGAGGGGCACGAUCCUCCUGCUAACAAAGUGAAAACCAUUGCUGAAAUUCCGAAACAUACACAUUUGGUGAGAUCAGGUUCCACAACAUUUGAAGGCAUUCGUUCUCAUUUUCCAAAAAUGUUUCUUUGUAAAAACAUAUAAUGAGUUUUUCAUUUUUAAGUAAAGUACUCAUUAGUUCAUGAAGCCAGGGGAUCCUUUUUGGAACUUGGAAGGGCUAGAAUUCUGAGGAAAGGAACUUCAUCCAGCAUGGUGCCGCAAUACAUUUCUUACUUUUUGUUUGUAUACAGUUUGCUACUAGUCAGGAUUUGGAGUAUACUAGAGUUAUUAACAAUUCAGAAUAUUCUGCUUGUAGUACAAAUAUAAGUUGUUAAGGCUUAGACGCCUCUCAACACUUGCAGACUUUUGGUAAUACUGAUGUUCCACAGUGUUGGAGUUCUACAGCCACAUGCCAACCUUACCUCUAUGUCUCCUUGUGUGCAAAUGAAGCAUCCUUGGCUUUCUGCAAUUCUGAUACAACCAUAUUUUCUAAAAGUGACUUCUAUUUACAUGGUUGACAACCAAUAAAUAGUUAAUGACAUUGUUAUACACAUUUACAUCAGUUAAAGGAUUAUAGACUUCCAAUUUUGCAGAAACUGGACAGGCAUGCAAGAAUACAACAUUAAACAGCUUUGGAAAAACUUGGCUUCAAAUCCAUCUGCAAGGCUGAGAACAUUUCUAAGGACCUCUACAUAGAAGUAUAUCCAGGGACCUAUUCUGUCACUGUGGGCUCAAAUGACUUAACCAAGAAGACUCAUGUGGUAGCAGUUGAUUCUGGACAAAGUGUGGACCUGAUCUUCCC